CCUUUUUCACAAUGCGGAAAGUCGGGAUUUUACAAUCCGGCAACGCCGCAAUCGGCCAUCUUUGUUCUAAUUAAUUUUUCCCCGUGUAAAUUCCCAUAAGGAAUCGGGGUCCCUUUACUUUUAAUUCAUUUUCUACUUAUUGGUGUCUUCAAUCCAAUAUAUUUCUCGUGGAUCUUGUUCCCCGAAUAACUGGUUGUUUUGAUUCUGGAAUGUCAAAACAGACAUGUUGUGUGUUUGCCGUUUGGCUGCGGUAACAGAUACAAUGUUUAUGAAUCUGUUACUGUAAGUUUUGCAUCCCAAAAGUUUUAUUGGACAUCCACAAUAUGUGGUAACAAUUCCCUCAAAAGUAUUUGGGGUUAACUAGUUUAAAAUUUACUAAUUCAACUGCUUUAACAUUUAGUUUCCUAAUCUGACGAAGCAUUCACUAUGAUUAGGCUACCUGAUUCAUUAUCGUUAUUUAUUUAUCAGUUUAAGAAUACUCAUGAUUCUUUUUUCUAGAGAAACAUUGUAUUAAACGAGGUGAAAAGAAGUUUUUAAUACAGAUACUGAA